rnacentral:rRNA from 1 species
GACGAACGCUGGCGGCGUGCUUAACACAUGCAAGUCGAACGGAGUUAAGCGAAAAGUUACUUUUGCAUAACUUAGUGGCGGACGGGUGAGUAACACGUGGAUAACUCUACCCCUAAUCACCGGGACAACAGCUGGAAACGGCUGCUAAUACCGGAUAAUACCCUCGGGCGGCAGUCGUUUGGGGGGGAAAGAUGGCCUCUAUGCAUAAGCUAUCGAAUGGGGAUGAGUCCGCGUCUGAUUAGCUAGUUGGUAGGGUAACGGCCUACCAAGGCGACGAUCAGUAGCCGGCCUGAGAGGGUGGCCGGCCACACUGGGACUGAGACACGGCCCAGACUCCUACGGGAGGCAGCAGUGGGGAAUCUUCCGCAAUGGGCGCAAGCCUGACGGAGCAACGCCGCGUGAAUGAAGAAGGCCUUCGGGUCGUAAAGUUCUGUCUUAAGGGAAGAACAAGCAUAGGGUAAAUAAUCCUAUGCCCCGACGGUACCUUAGGAGGAAGCUCCGGCUAACUACGUG